rnacentral:rRNA from 1 species
UAGUGAACCAGUACCGUGAGGGAAAGGCGAAAAGAACCCCGGCGAGGGGAGUGAAAAAGAACCUGAAACCGUGUACGUACAAGCAGUGGGAGCCCCACCACUAAGCCAGUGGUGAACUCCACAUCCGCAUCCUUUGCUGAGGAUACGGUUAACGGAGCGAAAGCGACGUUCAACCGCAAAACAAGCAGAGGGGGCUUAGUGGUGGGGUGACUGCGUACCUUUUGUAUAAUGGGUCAGCGACUUAUAUUCUGUAGCAAGGUUAACCGAAUAGGGGAGCCGGAGGGAAACCGAGUCUUAAUUGGGCGUUAAGUUGCAGGGUAUAGACCCGAAACCCGGUGAUCUAGCCAUGGGCAGGUUGAAGGUUGGGUAACACUAACUGGAGGACCGAACCGACUAAUGUUGAAAAAUUAGCGGAUGACCUGUGGCUGGGGGUGAAAGGCCAAUCAAACCGGGAGAUAGCUGGUUCUCCCCGAAAGCUAUUUAGGUAGCGCCUCGUGAAUUCAUCUCCGGGGGUAGAGCACUGUUUCGGCUAGGGGGCCAUCCCGGCUUACCAACCCGAUGCAAACUGCGAAUACCGGAGAAUGUUAUCACGGGAGACACACGGCGGGUGCUAACGUCCGUCGUGAAGAGGGAAACAACCCAGACCGCCAGCUAAGGUCCCAAAGUCAUGGUUAAGUGGGAAACGAUGUGGGAAGGCCCAGACAGCCAGGAUGUUGGCUUAGAAGCAGCCAUCAUUUAAAGAAAGCGUAAUAGCUCACUGGUCGAGUCGGCCUGCGCGGAAGAUGUAACGGGGCUAAACCAUGCACCGAAGCUGCGGCAGCGAACGUAUCACCCAAGACAACUUUACGGAGUUGACGAUUGACGGAGCGAAGCGACGUCAAAGCGUUCAUUAAAGUCGAGUUGGCUUAGGGAUACGUUCGUUGGGUAGGGGAGCGUUCUGUAAGCCUGUGAAGGUGUGUCGUGAGGCAUGCUGGAGGUAUCAGAAGUGCGAAUGCUGACAUAAGUAACGAUAAAGCGGGUGAAAAGCCCGCUCGCCGGAAGACCAAGGGUUCCUGUCCAACGUUAAUCGGGGCAGGGUGAGUCGACCCCUAAGGCGAGGCCGAAAGGCGUAGUCGAUGGGAAACGGGUUAAUAUUCCCGUACUUGGUGUUACUGCGAAGGGGGGACGGAGAAGGCUAUGUUGGCCGGGCGACGGUUGUCCCGGUUUAAGCGUGUAGGUGUGUGUUCCAGGUAAAUCCGGUUCACUUUAACACUGAGGCGUGACGACGAGGCACUACGGUGCUGAAGCAACAAAUGCCCUGCUUCCAGGAAAAGCCUCUAAGCAUCAGGUAACACGAAAUCGUACCCCAAACCGACACAGGUGGUCAGGUAGAGAAUACCAAGGCGCUUGAGAGAACUCGGGUGAAGGAACUAGGCAAAAUGGUGCCGUAACUUCGGGAGAAGGCACGCUGACACGUAGGUGAAGUGAUUUACUCA